rnacentral:rRNA from 1 species
CCUACGGGUGGCAGCAGUAGGGAAUUUUCCACAAUGGGCGAAAGCCUGAUGCAGCAACGCCGCGUGUGUGAAGAAGGUCUUCGGAUCGUAAAAUCCUGUUGGUAGAGAGGAAAGUGCUUGAGUUUAACUGUUCACUCUUCGACGGUCCCUAACCAGAAAGCCACGGCUAACUACGUGCCAGCAGCCGCGGUAAUACGUAGGUGGCAAGCGUUAUCCGGAGUUAUUGGGCGUAAGGGGAACGCAGGCGGUUUUUUAAGUCUGAUGUGAAAGCCUUCGGCUUAACCGGGGUAGUGCAUUGGAUACUGGGAGACUUGAGUGCCGAAGAGGAGAGUAGAACUCCAUGUGUAGCGGUGAAAUGCGUAGAUAUCUGGAGGAACACCAGUGGCGAAAGCGGCUCUCUGGUCUGUAACUGACGCUGAGGUUCGAAAGCGUGGGUAGCAAACAGGAUUAGAGACCCUUGUAGUC